rnacentral:rRNA from 1 species
UCUCGUGGGGAGACCCAUGACAGCUUUUGCAUUAAAUCAGUUAUCGUUUAUUUGAUAAUACCUUACCACUUGGAUAACUGUGGUAAUUCUAGAGCUAAUACAUGCUAAAAACCCCGACUUCGGAAGGGGUGUAUUUAUUAGAUAAAAAACCAAUGCCCUUCGGGGCUCCUUGGUGAUUCAUAAUAACUUAACGAAUCGCAUGGCCUUGCGCCGGCGAUGGUUCAUUCAAAUUUCUGCCCUAUCAACUUUCGAUGGUAGGAUAGUGGCCUACCAUGGUCUUAACGGGUAACGGGGAAUUAGGGUUCGAUUCCGGAGAGGGAGCCUGAGAAACGGCUACCACAUCCAAGGAAGGCAGCAGGCGCGCAAAUUACCCAAUCCCAAUCCGGGGAGGUAGUGACAAUAAAUACUGAUACAGGGCUCUUUCGGGUCUUGUAAUUGGAAUGAGAAAAAUCUAAAUCCCUUAACGAGGAACAAUUGGAGGGCAAGUCUGGUGCCAGCAGCCGCGGUAAUUCCAGCUCCAAUAGCGUAUAUUAAAGUUGUUGCAGUUAAAAAGCUCGUAGUUGAACCUUGGGUCUGGCUGAUCUGUCCUCCUAAUCGAGCGCACGGAUUCGGUCGGACCUUUCCUUCUGGGGAGCCCUAUGCCCUUCACUGGGCGUGGUGGGGAACCAG